AAUAAGUGUAGUUUUACACUAUUCACGUUUAACGUUUGACCGUUCGUCUUAUUUAAUUUUUUUUAUGAUUAGUAUUUUUAUUGCUAUUAGAUGAUAAAACAUGAAUAAUACUUUAUGUGUGACUAAAUAUUUUCAAAUUUUUCACAAAUUUUUUAAAUAAGACAGAUGGUUAAACGUUGGGCACGGAUAUCUAUAGCUGCACUUAUU
rfam:Oryza glaberrima chromosome 4 Oglab04_0272_1, whole genome shotgun sequence.